UAUUAUUAGUUGCCAGCAUUAAGUUGGGCACUUUAAUGAGACUGCCGGUGACAAACCGGAGGAAGGUGGGGAUGACGUCAAGUCAUCAUGCCCCUUAUGACCUGGGCUACACACGUGAUACAAUGGGCAGUACAACGAGGAGCGAACUUGUGAAGGCAAGCGAAUCUCUGAAAGCUGUUCUCAGUUCGGACUGUAGGCUGCAAAUUGCUUACACGAAGCUGGAAUCGCUAGUAAUCGCGGAUCAGCACGCCGCGGUGAAUACGUUCCCGGGCCCUGUACACACCGCCCGUCACACCAUGAGAGUUUGUAACACCCAAAGC
rnacentral:rRNA from 1 species